AUGUUGCAGAAGAAGUGGGGGGGAGCGGACACAACAGGGGCUUGCGGUCUUUCGGCGACAGCUGAGCGAUCCCGGGAGAUGAACUCGAACCCGGAGGUGCCUGCCCGAAUUCCCCCAGCAGCUCCGGCAGCUCCAAAUGUCCAUGGCCAGCAGUCUGGGGAGGAGAUCCCCGGGGACGCCGCCAGACAGCCAGAGGAGAAGGAGGCCAUGUGCUCACCAGGCCCGUUCGGUCGUCAGAAGUGCAUUGAUCCCAGGAUGUCCUCCUGCUGUGUAUUAAAGAAGUCAGGGUAUUGGCUUCAACAAUUUAGCUGGUUAGUUUGUUCCACACUCCCACCACCCUUUGUGUAAAGAAGUGCCCCCCCCCCCCGCUUGUUCACAGUCCUGCAGUCUGUUUUAUCUUCACUCUGUGCCAGGAGGGGCUCUACUUGUUGUAGUUCCCUGUAUUUUCUGUCCUAUGUUGGAUGUUUGUUUUUUGAAUGAUCAAAAAGCAAGAUCACCAGUAGGGGACAUCCUGAGUAAAGAAACAGUCUGGGCGGCGCGGUGCCGCACUGGUCAGCAUUGCUGACUCACAGCUGUGGGGUCCUGAAUUCAAUUCUUGGGGUACGGCGCAGAGUUUGGGUGUUCCAUCUGUGUGGAGUUUGCAUGUUCUCGUGGGUCUCCUCCCACAGUCUAAAGACCAUGUGGGUGGGUUAAUUGGCCCUGGUGUGAGCACGUGUGUGUGUCUCUCUGCCCGGUGAUGGACUGGUGUCCUGGAAGGGAUGUACACCCUAGCCGGCGUCCGUGCCUGCAGAAUCCUGGCAAGCCUGAAUUGAAAGAAGUGGGCAGAUGGGCAGUAGAAACAAUUUUGUUUCUUUACGUAGUGAUAUUAGGUGGUUAACAUUUUCAACCACCCACCACAAGACGUCACUGGUGCCGAUGAGUGCCAAAGUUUUGAGCUGACACGAGGGCUCGGGUUCAAGCUGGACAGCGACGGACUCAUCUUGACCCGAGAAGAUCUUUCUUUCGAUUUCUCUGUAUAUUUCCACCCUUUGUGCUUAAUUGCAUCUGUUCUGUUACUUCUGCAGCUCCUGUACGUCUAUAUAUGUACAUGCUGCAUGUGUAGAGCCGUCUGCGGAUGACAGAUUGUUCUUGACAAGCUCUCUUCUUGAUCCGUUCGAGGCUGGGGGACACAGGUG
rnacentral:lncRNA from 1 species